rnacentral:rRNA from 1 species
UGCAACCUGAACUCAGAUGUGAUUACCCGCUGAACUUAAGCAUAUCAU